rnacentral:miRNA from 1 species
UAUCAGAAGACAGGUAGGCAGA